GGUCUUGUUCAAACAGAUGAUAGAUCAGCCUUAUUAGAGAUAACAAGACAACUACAAUUAGAAAAUGUAGUUGGGGACAAAGUAUUUGGCUCUUUUGCUGAAAACUUUGCUUUUUUGCUUGAUUCACUGAAGAGCGGUGGAGAGGAGAGCCAGUCAAUCUUGUUUAUUAUGGAUGAGUUUGACCUGUUUACUAACCACAAGAACCAAUCCCUGUUAUAUAAUUUAUUUGAUGUGUCACAGUCAGCCCAGACUCCAAUAUGUGUUGUAGGACUUACUUGCAGACUGGUAAUGAAAUCACAAAAUUAUGUAUCCAUAGCAAAGCCAUGCUUUUACUUUAAAAGGUUUG